GUUAUCUUCAUAGCUUGCUGCGUGAGUUGGAACCUGGUACUUUGUCAGUCAUGGGUCAGAAAUUCUGUUGCUUGAGAAGAGCAUGUUGCUUAAAGUACUUCCUAUGGCUACUGGCAUGUGUAUGAAAAAUUAUCAGGGAAGAAUUCAAUUUCUAAAAGCACAUAUUCUUUCAGAAAAUCUUUCAAAAAUUAGUAAAGCUUGAUUAACUUUUGCUGCUUAGGGGAGAAUGGAGACAUGAAUUCUAUUUUAAUUGAAGAGAUGGCCAAGGGUUAGGACAGAAUCAAAAUGCAGACACCAACCUGCAGGAUUAGGUAGAAAUGGAAUUCUAGGUAAAAUAACCAGAUACACCAAACACAGUUCGAGGCAGAAAAGGAAUGGCAUGUCUCAAAGCUGAGAUUGACCCAAGACAACUGAGGAGAGUCAAGGAGCAGAACAUUCCAAAAACAAAUUCAAGAGGACACACUCUCAGGA